AGAGAUGAAGCAACAUGGAUCUCUGCAUCCUAGCGGAGUAGCUCAUCCAGGCUGAAGCCCUUUGAAUAUAUCAUGUCCCACCCUUCUGGUCAGCAACGUUUCUACUGAACAAUCAGUGAUAGCCUUAUUGGGUUUCUCUGGUGCGUUACAAACUGCUGCAUUGGAGCUGAGUCUUGGACCGAAUGAUAAAGCACUGGCUCCUUAUGAGCAGCUAGUCAGUGUUCUAUGCCCCUUUGAUGUUCCUGGAGCUCAAAAAUGGUCAUAUACAUACUCACGAGACUUGAGAGAAGACUGGAUGAACACUCGACUAGAGGAUGCAGAAGAAUGGAUCAGCAAUCUGAAAGAAUAGUGGAGAGUAACCAGAGUGAACAGCAAGAAGAAAAUAAAAAGGAUAGGUUAAAAGACCUCUGUACCCAACAUCAAGCAUCCUAACGUUUGUUGGCGCUAUAUAGGGGUUCCCAGAAGAAGAGAGAGAGAAAGGAGCAUAAAGCUUAUUUGAAUAAAUAGCUGAAAAAUCUCCCUAAUCUGGGCAAAUGAACAGACAUCCAGGAAGCAGAUCCAAACAAUAUGAAGUUAAAUAAUUCUGUAAUUAUAAUAGCAAAAAUUAAAGAGAGAAUUUUACAAGUAGCAAGAGAAAAGGAAAGAAUUACAUAGAAGGAAAAUCCAUAAGACUAUCAGCAGGAUUUUCAGGAGAAACAUUGAAUAUAUCAUGCCUCUCCUUUCUGGCUUGCAAAUAGCUAAGGGGGAGAAAAUCCCUACAACCCAGAAUACCCUAUGGAUCAAGGUUAUCAUUCAAGAUUAAAGGAGAAAUAAAGAGUGUCCCAGACAAACAAAAGUUAAAGGAGUCAAUUACCACUAAGUUGAUGUUACAAAAAAUAUUAAAGGGCAUCUUUUAAGCAGAAAAGAAAAAGCCAUAAUUAGAAGAAAAAUUAUGAAAGGAAAAAAUUUCACUUGUAAAAGCAUACACACAGUAAAGGUAGAUCAAUCAUUUUUAAAGCUAAUAUGAAGUUUAAAAGAUGACAGUAGUAAAAUCAAUUACAUCUAUAAAAAUUAGUCAAGGGAUACACAAUUUAAAAGAUGUAAAAAAAUAACAUCACAUCAUAAAACAUUGAUUUGCAAAUAAAAAUGUGCUUUUAAAAUGUGUUCUUAAGCUACCAUCCACUUAAUAAACACUACUAUAUACAUAGGAUGUUACAUAUGAACGUCAUGGAUACCACAAACCAAAAAUCUAAAAUAGAUACACAAAAAAUAAAUCUAAACAUGAUGCCAAAGAGACUAUCUCAAGGUAAGUAGAUCAGUAGAAGAAGAAAGGAAAAGAGAACUAUGAAAACAGUCGAUCAACAAAAUGGGAAUAAGUAAUACCUAUCAAUAAUUAUUUUAAAUGUAAGUGGACUAUGUGCUCCAAUGAAAAGACAUAAGAUUAAUGAAUGGAUGAAAGAACAAGGCUCAUCUAUGUGCUGUCUAUAAGAGAUUUGCUACAGACCUAAAGACAUACAGACUAAAAGUAAAGUAAUGGAAAAAGUAUUCCAUGCAAAUGGAAGGAAAACAAAAGAUUGGCUAGCAUUACUUAUAUCAGACUAGAUUUUAAAUGGACUCUAAUAGGACAUAAAGAAGGGCAUUCCAUAAUGAUAAAGUUAUCAAUGCAACCAGAACAUACAAUGGUAAAUACCUGUGAACCCACUAUAAUAGCUUCUAAAUAUAUAAAUCACAUAUUAACAGUUAUAAAGGGAAACAUUGCAAUAAUACAACAAUAGUAAAGGACUUUAACACCUCACAUCAAUGCAUAGACCAUCCAGAAAGAAAAUCAAUAAGGAAAAAAGUGGCUUUGAACCACACAUUAGGACAGAUGUACUUUAACACCUAUAUACCGAAUGUUCCAUCCCAAAACAGCAAACCACAGGAAACAUUUCCCUGUGAUAUAGACACAAUCCAGGCCACAAAAGAAGUCUCAGUAAAUUUCAGAAGUUUGAAAUCAUAUCUGUAUAAUUUCAAACUAUAAUAGUAUGAAAUUAGAAAUCAAUUUUAAGAAAAAAAAGAUACUAAUACAUGGAAGCUAAACAACAUGCAUCAAGAAACCAAUGUAUCAAUGAAAGAAUAAAAGAGGAACUCAAUACCUUAACACAAAUGAAAAUGGAAACAUCAGUUCCAACACUUUGACAUGAUCAGAGUUCU